GAUGAACGCUAGCGGCAGGCCUAACACAUGCAAGUCGAGGGGUAGAAGUUGCUUGCAACUUUGAGACCGGCGCACGGGUGCGUAACGCGUAUGCAAUCUGCCUUGUACUGAGGGAUAGCCCAGAGAAAUUUGGAUUAAUACCUCAUAGCAUUAUGGCGUGGCAUCACAUUAUAAUUAAAGUUCCAACGGUACAAGAGGAGCAUGCGUCCCAUUAGUUAGUUGGUAAGGUAACGGCUUACCAAGACGAUGAUGGGUAGGGGUCCUGAGAGGGAGAUCCCCCACACUGGUACUGAGACACGGACCAGACUCCUACGGGAGGCAGCAGUGAGGAAUAUUGGUCAAUGGGCGCAAGCCUGAACCAGCCAUGCCGCGUGCAGGAUGACGGUCCUAUGGAUUGUAAACUGCUUUUAUACGGGAAGAAACACUCCUACGUGUAGGAACUUGACGGUACCGUAAGAAUAAGGAUCGGCUAACUCCGUGCCAGCAGCCGCGGUAAUAC
rnacentral:rRNA from 1 species